UACGUAGGGUGCGAGCGUUACUCGGAAUUACUGGGCGUAAAGCGUGCGCAGGCGGUCCGCAAAGUCUGAUGUGAAAGCCCCGGGCUCAACCUGGGAACUGCAUUGGAAACUAACGGGCUCGAGUGUGGCAGAGGGGGGUGGAAUUCCGCGUGUAGCAGUGAAAUGCGUAGAGAUGCGGAGGAACACCGAUGGCGAAGGCAGCCCCCUGGGCUAACACUGACGCUCAGGCACGAAAGCGUGGGGAGCAAACAGG
rnacentral:rRNA from 1 species